rnacentral:rRNA from 1 species
ACGACUCUCGGCAACGGAUAUCUCGGCUCUCGCAUCGAUGAAGAACGUAGCGAAAUGCGAUACCUGGUGUGAAUUGCAGAAUCCCGCGAACCAUCGAGUCUUUGAACGCAAGUUGCGCCCGAGGCCACUCGGCCGAUGGCACGCCUGCCUGGGCGUCACGC